AUGUCAUUUUGAUCUUUAAGAAGUCUCUAAUCUUUCCAAGGAGCAUCUGACCCCUUGGAGAAACCUACUUGGAUGUAAGAGGACAUAUAUCCUUCUCAACGCAUCUCUCAAGGUUUUAUCAAAAACUAUAUACAAAUUUACUGUCUCUGACAAGCAGUGAAAAGAAGUUGUUUUUCUCACUGCUUAACCUCCUUGAAAUGAAAACACACACAGUAAACUCCACACCUUAGAGCAGAAGGAUGCAAUUGUUGGCCUUUUGGCUCAUUUUGGCAAAAAUCAACCUUUUUGAUGGUACAUGUGAUGCUUGAAGAUACAGGCAUACAAUGUGUAAUGAUCAAAUCAGGAUGCAGAUAACAAUGUCACCUGAAUCAUGAGAAUCAGAAAUGACCCCAGAUAUUGUCAGAAGUGCCCCGACUUGAGAACCACUGUUUUAAAUUAACUAAUAAUUUUCGAGAGGCCAGAGAGCCUAAUGGUUAAGCUCAGGCUCUGGAGACUGGAAUCUAGAACUGGAUUUAAGUCCUAAUUCUCUACCUUAGUCAUUAUAGACCUUGAGCAAAUGACUUACAAUGUAAGUACUAAGUAAGUUACUUUUGAAGCCUCACUUCUUCAUUUGUAAAAUGGGACUAAUAAGAGUACCUGCUUCCUAGGGUUAGUGUGUAGACUAAAUGAGCCAACACAUGUGGAGCAUUUAGCAUAGUAUAUGGCACGUGGCAGCUACUCAAUAAAUGCUAGAAAUUGUUCUAUUAUUUGACAGUUACAAAAGAGCACAUAGUAAGAAGAGAUGAACACGGUUAUUUCUGAAAGUAGACUCUUGGGCAUCAAGGAAUCAAGGAAAGCAAAAUAUCUGGGUAUCAUUCUACAAAAGCAUUUGGAGGCAGUAGCCUGGUAAAUCAGUCAACAAUUAUUCAAUCAUCUGUUAUAUGCCAAGUCAUAUUCUAAUGUUGAGUGUAUAGAUGUGAGCAAGACAAAGUCCCGCCUUGAAGAUCUCACAUAUUAAUGGGAAAGACAGAAAGGUAACAGAAGUGACUUAAAACCAGUGUGGUAGAGCAGCCACUGUUAGUUUUCCAUCAGAGUUCAUUCUUCUCUUCUUCUGUCAUAACAUGUCACAUGGCUUCCCAACUACACUGAAUUUCUGUAUUUUGAUACACUAAGUAGUGCAGUAGCCAUUUGAGUAGCUCGUUCCAAUGGUCCGUGAGCAGAAGUGAAGUGUGCCACUUCCAGGUCUUUCUCACAUGGUUUUUAAUGCUUUUUAUUUCUUUUUGUGAGCUUCAAGGUCACAGCAAUGAUCAGAGUGACACAGCAGUGUUGGAAGUCAUGUGUUAAAAUUGACAGAGCAGAUGUCGGCUUGGGUCCCUGAGUGACUGUAUGGAGCAAAGCCUCCCACCCUGGCUGCAAGCUGCAAGUUUUGCCUGGGUCAUUCACUGAAAGGGAAGUGGACCCCGAUUAUGUUUGAGCCAUUACAUCUUGCUUUAUUUGUUAAAUAAUUUUGGUUACCAAAUGAACACAGGUGAUCUGGAAAGGUUCCUGUGAUAAGAGAACAUUCAAACUGAAAUCUCACAGAAGAAAAAAAGGCACCAUAUGUCCUUCUAGAAGACUGUUUUAGGGGCAAGAAGAGCUAGUACAAGGGAGCUGUCUUUGACAGGUGACUAGAGCCUGACAUUACAGCCCUAUGAUACAGAGGAUCCAUGCUGGAGGGUGAGCUAGGGGCGCACAGGUAGAAAUGGCAUCAGGAUAAAAUGCAGGUAUGGAUUCUAGAUCUGUUUGGUUUAUAAAAUACUCCUUGGCAACCGGAAGGAUUUCUUUCUCUUUUCCUAGAGAAACAAAAGGUUCUGCCCAAACAUUUUUUUGUGUGUGUGAAAAUCUGACACUUUAAUUAGCAUCCAACACCUGGUAGUUAUAUGUUGUUUAGAUAAAAAAUUCAAUUGAAUUUAACUUGAGCAAAGACUGCAUCUGAAAUCAAUUGACAUAGGUUGGUGAGGGUUCCUGAUUCAUCUUGCAGAGAUUCAAAGAGAAACUAUUUUUCAAGUUUUUCUGACAAAAUCACCAAUAAUAGAAGUUCCAGGGAGGCCAUAAGUGUCCUGGUAGUGAUAUGGUGUUUGGUCUUCAUGGAAAUUUACUUGAUGCAUAGUGUUUGAGGGUACAAUCUUUAGUUCCUUCUGAGAUUUAGUUUUUCUAUAUAUACCUAUUUUCACAUUAUCUACAAAUUUCAAGAAUAUAGAAAAAUUUCAGGAAGUAUUAGUAUUUCUUUUAUUAGGAAAAGUCAUUUGUGCUCAGUAGUGUGACACCAAUCCCAUAAAAUGGCUGUGUAUGGAAAUAGAGGCCACUUUUUGGACACAGCCAAUAUUUUCUCAUUCUUUUAUUUAACAA